rnacentral:rRNA from 1 species
GAUGAACGCUGGCGGCGUGCCUAAUACAUGCAAGUCGAGCGAACAGACGAGGAGCUUGCUUCUCUGACGUUAGCGGCGGACGGGUGAGUAACACGUGGAUAACCUACCUAUAAGACUGGGAUAACUUCGGGAAACCGGAGCUAAUACCGGAUAAUAUAUUGAACCGCAUGGUUCAAUAGUGAAAGACGGUUUUGCUGUCACUUAUAGAUGGAUCCGCGCCGCAUUAGCUAGUUGGUAAGGUAACGGCUUACCAAGGCAACGAUGCGUAGCCGACCUGAGAGGGUGAUCGGCCGCACUGGAACUGAGACACGGUCCAGACUCCUACGGGAGGCAGCAGUAGGGAAUCUUCCGCAAUGGGCGAAAGCCUGACGGAGCAACGCCGCGUGAGUGAUGAAGGUCUUCGGAUCGUAAAACUCUGUUAUUAGGGAAGAACAAAUGUGUAAGUAACUAUGCACGUCUUGACGGUACCUAAUCAGAAAGCCACGGCUAACUACGUG